rnacentral:rRNA from 1 species
UGGGGAAUUUUGGACAAUGGGCGAAAGCCUGAUCCAGCAAUGCCGCGUGUGUGAAGAAGGCCUUCGGGUUGUAAAGCACUUUUGUCCGGAAAGAAAUCCUUGGCUCUAAUACAGUCGGGGGAUGACGGUACCGGAAGAAUAAGCACCGGCUAACUACGUGCCAGCAGCCGCGGUAAUACGUAGGGUGCAAGCGUUAAUCGGAAUUACUGGGCGUAAAGCGUGCGCAGGCGGUUUGCUAAGACCGAUGUGAAAUCCCCGGGCUCAACCUGGGAACUGCAUUGGUGACUGGCAGGCUAGAGUAUGGCAGAGGGGGGUAGAAUUCCACGUGUAGCAGUGAAAUGCGUAGAGAUGUGGAGGAAUACCGAUGGCGAAGGCAGCCCCCUGGGCCAAUACUGACGCUCAUGCACGAAAGCGUGGGGAGCAAACAGGAUUAGAUACCCUGGUAGUCCACGCCCUAAACGAUGUCAACUAGUUGUUGGGGAUUCAUUUCCUUAGUAACGUAGCUAACGCGUGAAGUUGACCGCCUGGGGAGUACGGUCGCAAGAUUAAAACUCAAAUGAAUUGACGGGGUCAUGCUGUUUCCU